UCUAAUCAAAUUAGGAUGCAAGCAUAUUUUGGCGUCUCUGGUGAGAAAGGAUAUUGUAAUCAAGUAUAGGAAAUUUUGUCCUUUUUUUUAACGUGCAGCACAUGCUCCCUGGGAGCAUUCAUCACAUAGAAUAGUGAUUUUUCGUUUAAAAAGUGGAUUCCCAGGAUCCGCUGUGUAUUAUGUAUUUUACCCACAUAGGAACGGACUAAGGAAUACUGUGGUGUUACAAAGACUUAAACUUGACUAUAAUUUAUCGGUCACACUAUAUCAUACAUCAUCAUGUAAUAUAUUUGUACAAUGCAGCAAAACAUGAAACAA